ensembl:lncRNA
GGCCGUGCUCCGGAUGAAAGUGCAGACUGUGUAGCUGUCACCUCCAUCUGGCUCUCCACCCUCCUCGACUCCUGCCCUACCUCACCUUCUCUCCCAGCCCCCCUCCAUCAAUGCCUGUCUGCUCAUUCCCUGUCUCAGGCCUGUCUUUGUUUCCUGUUGCAGCCUCAGCCCGUAGCUCCAAGUCCAAGAGAGACAGACAGGGAUCCUCAGAACUGGAGACCUCAAGGCAGCAGUGACCUCAUAGAUAAACCCCAGCGCAGGUACCGGAGCCGGUUAUCUGGAACAGGAAGUGGCUCUGGGAAGCAUGAACCAAUGAGAAAUCCCCUCUCGAGAACUGCACACUUUCUGCAAGGAAACAGACAUCACUGAAAGGAGGUUAGUAGGGCACCUCACCUGUGGGGAAACGUUUGGGGAACUCUUUGUGGGUUC